AUACUACUCCCUCUGUCUCAAAAUUCUUGUCUUAGAUUUGUCUAAAUACGAAUGUAUCAAGUCAUGUUUUAGUAUUAGAUACAUUCGUAUCUAGACGAAUCUAAGACAAGAAUUUUGGGACGGAGGGAGUACAUA
rnacentral:pre_miRNA from 1 species